rnacentral:lncRNA from 1 species
GUCGCUGGUCCCCGGCAACACGGCUCAGGCAAACGUAAGCGGCUUGUCGCAGAAACCAAGGGGUCCACGAAACGCGCUAGGCUAGAAGGCGGGAAGGAGAGAUUACUGACAGCCGUGCCAGCCAAUAAAAUAGAAAUCAACAGUGAGAGCUCAGAAAUUCCCAGACUGUUUUGAUGAUAAGGUCCAAGAACUUGCCAUGUGAUCCAUCACUACUAGACUCCCACAACUGCAUUAGAUUUGUUCAGGAUUUUCAUAUAAUUUUCAUAACUGGCUAAGUUCUGAAAUAACCCAUCUUGAAGACAUAAACAAUGUGCAUUGAUGGCUAGCCAGACUCUGUCCUGCCACAGUUCUCCUCCUACUCUUCAUUUCUUACCCCAAGGAGUAGUAAACAUGAAUCCUGACCCACCAAUGCAGUCCCAGAACUGAGAAAAGAUUCACUGCAGCUAAACAGAUUAUUUUUGCACCUUUGGAAAGCAACUGAAAAAGGAAGCCUGGAAAAAAUCCUGCCUAACAAAGCAGCAGUACUCAAAUAGCUUUAACUAUAAGAAAGAACUGAUUCAAGAUAUGAGAAGAGAUUUAAGAUAUAAGAUUAAAUAUAAGUGUAAAUGAUAUCCUCAUUUUUAUUGAAAUGCUGUGUAUUCCUAUUAUUUCAGUGAAAUGUUAAAUGGCAAAGGAUGCAUUUUUUAGAUUAUUUUUUUCACUGAAUUUUAAACAGUCUUUGAAGCAGAUAUUUCAUAUAACAAUAUCCAGAAACAAUAACACAUAUGUGGAUAAAGUUGAGUGGUUGGAUAAUGUAUUGUGCAAAUUAUCAAGAAGAAAACCAUCUUAAAGAAAUAUUUUAGCUUAACAGCAUCAAUAAAUGGGACACCUAGUUCACUUAAAAAAAUUGACAAUGAAUGUUUUCCUCCUUAUACCCCUGAAGGCCUUGGGUUUGGAAUGACAAAAUAUUCAAAUAUUUUGAAAUUAUCUACAUUUUAAAUAUUUAUUCAAGGAGAAUUGAAUCUUGAUUGACAAUUGUGCACAAAUUGCUGAAAUUCAAAAAUUCUAAAUCUCAUGUCAGAUAUUAGGAAAUUUUAAUUUUUCAUUUACUAAAACGGUAAAAAUGUAGACACUAGAAAAAAAUGAAGAAAUGACAAUGUCAUAGAUAAUCAACAAACUGAAUAAUUAGGUGGAAUUACUCAACCCCCAGAUUAGUCCAUUUUCAUGCUGCUGAUAAAGACAUACCCAAGACUGGGCAAUUUA